AACUCCAAAAAACAAAAUAAUUCAGAGAAACAUUUCCCUCAUGUCUUUUCCUCUCUUACGCUUCAUCAGCACCACCAUCAUCAUCAUCAUCAAUAAACCAAUCUUUUCCCUAACACCAAAUCCAACAUUGCAAUUAGAAUGCUAGAUGUUCAAGGAACGCAAUGAGCAACGUUUAACACCUUCAUCUACUUCUCUCUGCCUCUCGUAUCCUCUCACUCUCUCAACUCCAAUUUCACUCUCAAUUCUUAGUUGCAUGUGUUGUUCAUCCAAUCAUAAGGAUAUGGACCAUUGGAAUUCUAAGGUAAGAGUAGUAAUUUCAGUUUCAUUCCUCUUUCCCUUUUAUGAACCCUAAACCCAUUUGUGAUUUUGACCAUUGAGGUGUAUGCAUGUUUGUAAUUCUGGUCUUGGAGCACUUGUGAGGAAUUAAGGAGAGUUGUUGGAACAAGGAAACAAGAAGAUUGGAAAUAUUUAUGAAAAAUCGUAUGCUGGAUGUACCCUCACUAAAAAUGGUACCAGCCUAGUGAGAUUUAAUGGAGAAAUGAGGUCUCUGCGAAUUUUUGAAGUGAAAAGUUCAACACAUAAUUUAUGCAGAAAGUGUUUGAGAUUGGGCUGCACUCAAACGUUUCAUAAUUUAUGGACGAGAAUUGUGGUCAGUAGGUAUUUUUGAAGUUGGAACUCUGAUGCUGAAGUUAUGCAGAAAAAUCUGCAUACAAGUUUGAAGUAGUUUCGUUGCAAAUUCCGCUUUUCGGCGAGUUUUGGAAAUGUCGGUGGUACUGUUCAAGCGUCAAUUUCAGGUGGGUUCCCUUAGAGGCUCAACUUCUAGUAUAGCCUAGCACUUUAGUUUCCCAAUAAAUUAUGCAUGAUAACAAUAGAAUGAUAGUUCCCCAAAUUAUGAAUUGUUGUAUGAUAACAUAAGUUAGGAUCAAUUAGUGUAGGGGAGGGACUUAAACCCAAAGUACCACUCCAUUAUGAUUAUUUAAUCUAUAAACAGUAUGCAUAGCUAGUAGGAAAGGAUAUUGUAGGUGAUUUCUGCAUAAUUCAUGAAAUUUCGUAAAACAAUGUGCUAAACUGGUAUUCUCGCUAAGCGAGAGAUUGUUCAUUGUGGCUCGCUUUGACAUCUGAACAUUUUGACUUGGGUUAGCAGUAGCGAGCCUGUCAGGGUGGUUGAUUAUCAUUGCUCACUAAGCGAGCAUAUGUCUCGUUAAGCGAGAACAUCAUAUCAGAACCUGCAUAAAGUUUUAAAAUAGUGAAAUCACUCAUUUUAUAUUUCCAAUCCUUCUAGAGUUUCUAUGAGCACCGUAAGUAGAGGAAAUGAUUAUAAUGUUAAUUACACGUUAAGUUAUAAAUAUCAGGAAAUCAGGACAAGCUAGAAAUACCCUGGGAGGGAAUUCAUGGGCAUGAUAACCAUGGUUGUCAAAAUCGCGAGUAGACUCUUAAACUCGUACGAGUUUACGUAUCUAGGAAGCAAAAACGAAUUGAAUCGCUCAUAGAAUCGAUUUUUGAUAAACUCGAUUAGAUUCGAAUAGACUCGCAUAGACUCAUAUAAACUCGCGAGUUUAUGGCGAGUUUACGAGUCUAUAAAUUUUUCUAAAAAAAAAAUUAAUUUUUUUUAUUAAAAAAUCCUCAUCCAAAACACAAAAUUAAAAAAAAUAAAAAUAAAAUUGAAAACCCUUGAUGAAGAAAAUAAUGAGCAAACUGAAGUUAAUGUUGAGCAAGUUGAUGUUACUGCUAACAAUGUUGAGGAACCUGAUGUUAUUAUUACCAAUGUUGUGCAAUGGUGGCGGCAAUGCUGAAUUAAUUGGAAGUUCAAGCAAUCCAACUUUGGUUAAUGACGAAGAAUGUGUUUUAUCUGGGGCAGAGUUUGAUGAUGAUGGUGAAGGUAUUCAGGUCGAGGUUUCGAUCGAGCUUUAGCUGUAGAUCGUUUUGGUGUGGAG